GCAGCAGCCCUGCGCACGGGAAGAAUGUGAAGUCCGCCAGGUCCGGAAGGAAGCAACGGUAAGCAGCUCAACCCGGUGCCGCAGUAAGUUGUUGCCUG
rnacentral:SRP_RNA from 1 species